CCUACGGGAGGCAGCAGUAGGGAAUCUUCCACAAUGGGCGAAAGCCUGAUGGCGCAACGCCGCGUGGGUGAAGAAGGUCUUCGGAUCGUAAAACCCUGUUGUUAGAGAAGAAAGUGCGUGAGAGUAACUGUUCACGUUUCGACGGUAUCUAACCAGAAAGCCACGGCUAACUACGUGCCAGCAGCCGCGGUAAUACGUAGGUGGCAAGCGUUAUCCGGAUUUAUUGGGCGUAAAGGGAACGCAGGCGGUCUUUUAAGUCUGAUGUGAAAGCCUUCGGCUUAACCGGAGUAGUGCAUUGGAAACUGGGAGACGUGAGUGCAGAAGAGGAGAGUGGAACUCCAUGUGUAGCGGUGAAAUGCGUAGAUAUAUGGAAGAACACCAGUGGCGAAAGCGACUCUCUGGUCUGUAACUGACGCUGAGGUUCGAAAGCGUGGGUAGCAAACAGGAUUAGAUACCCUGGUAGUC
rnacentral:rRNA from 1 species